rnacentral:tRNA from 1 species
GCGAAAGUGGCGGAAUUUGGCAGACGCGCUGGGUUUAGAUUCCAGUAGGGUUACCCUGUAAGAGUUCGAGUCUCUUCUUUCGUA